rnacentral:rRNA from 1 species
UACGGAGGAUGCAAGCGUUAUCCGGAAUGAUUGGGCGUAAAGCGUCCGCAGGUGGCUGUGUAAGUCUGCUGUCAAAGAGCAAAGCUCAACUUUGUAAAGGCAGUGGAAACUACACGGCUAGAGUGCGUUCGGGGCAGAGGGAAUUCCUGGUGUAGCGGUGAAAUGCGUAGAGAUCAGGAGGAACACCCGUGGCGAAGGCGGCCCUCUGGCUCGACCCUGACGCUGAGGCGCGAAAGCGUGGGGAGCGAACGGG